rnacentral:rRNA from 14 species
GUACUGUGAGACUGCGAACGGCUCAUUAUAUCAGUAAUAAUUUCUUCGGUAGUUUCUUUUAUAUGGAUACCUGCAGUAAUUCUGGAAAUAAUACAUGCUGUAAGAGCCCUGUAUGGGGCUGCACUUAUUAGAUUGAAGCCGAUUUUAUUGGUGAAUCAUGAUAAUUGAGCAGAUUGACUUUUUUGGUCGAUGAAUCGUUUGAGUUUCUGCCCCAUCAGUUGUCGACGGUAGUGUAUUGGACUACGGUGACUAUAACGGGUGACGGAGAGUUAGGGCUCGACUCCGGAGAGGGAGCCUGAGAGACGGCUACCAUAUCCAAGGAUAGCAGCAGGCGCGUAAAUUACCCACUGUGGACUCCACGAGGUAGUGACGAGAAAUAUCGAUGCGAAGCGUGUAUGCGUUUUGCUAUCGGAAUGAGAGCAAUGUAAAACCCUCAUCGAGGAUCAACUGGAGGGCAAGUCUGGUGCCAGCAGCCGCGGUAAUUC